GUAGUUGUGGCCGAGUGGUUAAGGUGAUGGACUUGAAAUCCAUUGAGAGUUUCCUGCACAAGUUCGAAUCCUGUCGACUAAG